rnacentral:rRNA from 1 species
GAAGGUCAGGCUUCGCACUGACCGAGGCAGGAUCCGUCCGGGUGAGCGAAGCUCUUCUUCCUUUUGCGGGUGCAAUCCCCGCGGGGGAGCUCGGCGGCGCACUGCCGGCCCAUCUCAGCCGCUUCUUGUCGGCGAGGUGGAGCCAGAGCGCACACGUUGGGACCCGAAAGAUGGUGAACUAUGCUCGGGCAGGACGAAGCCAGAGGAAACUCUGGUGGAGGUCCGUAGCGAUUCUGACGUGCAAAUCGAUCGUCGGACCCGAGUAUAGGGGCGAAAGACUAAUCGAACCGUCU